GUGAGGAAUUUUCCGCAAUGGGCGAAAGCCUGACGGAGCAAUGCCGCGUGAAGGAUGAAGGCCUAUGGGUUGUAAACUUCUUUUCUCAGAAAAGAAUUAUGACGGUAUCUGAGGAAUAAGCAUCGGCUAACUCUGUGCCAGCAGCCGCGGUAAGACAGAGGAUGCAAGCGUUAUCCGGAAUGAUUGGGCGUAAAGCGUCUGUAGGUUGUUUAAAAAGUAUUCUGUCAAAGAUUAGGGCUUAACCCUAGAUAGGCAGAAUAAACUUUUAAGCUAGAGUAUGGUAGAGGCAGAGGGAAUUCCCGGUGGAGCGGUGAAAUGCGUAGAUAUCGGGAGGAACACCAAAGGCGAAGGCACUCUGCUGGGCCAAUACUAACACUGAGAGACGAAAGCGAGGGGAGCAAAUGGGAUUAGAAACCCGAGUAGUCC
rnacentral:rRNA from 1 species